AUUAGAAUGGUUCUAUAUUGGAAGGAUUAUUAUUAUGGAAGAGUAAUCUUGAUAAACAUUUUGCUGGUUUGGAUGACUGCAUGAUAUGCUUCAGUAUCAUUCAUGGAUCUAAUUAUUCACUACCUAAAAUGAUAUGUAGAACUUGCAAGAAGAGAUUCCAUUCAUCAUGUCUGUAUAAAUGGUUCAGUACUAGUAACAAGAGCAGUUGUCCACUCUGCAGGAACAUUUUCUAAUUUAUUUUUGUGUGUCAAAUUUUAAUUUUAUUUAUUUAAUAUCAGCAAAAUUAAUCAUCAAACAGCAAAA